rnacentral:RNase_P_RNA from 1 species
UGAGUUGGUUAGGCAAUCGCUGGUUUAUUGAAGCCCUUAGUGCAGUAAAGUAAAGCCCGAAACGGGUGAUAAGUGGGACAAAUAAACGAGAGGAAAGUCCGAGCUACAUAGGGCAGAGUGCCAGAUAACGUCUGGGAGGCGUGAGCCUACGACUAGUGCAACAGAGAGUAAACCGCCGAUGUACUAAGUGCAGGUAAGGGUGAAAGGGUGCGGUAAGAGCGCACCGCGUGGGUGGCAACAUUCCACGGCACGGUAAACUCCACUCGUAGCAAGACCAAAUAGGAACUCAAUCGGUGGCCCGCCGAGAGUUCGGGUAGGUUGCUUGAGCGUAUGUGUGAAUAUACGCCUAGAGGAAUGAUUGUCCGCGACAGAACUCGGCUUAUCGACCAACUCACUGA